rnacentral:rRNA from 1 species
CAGGGUAACGGCCCACCACUGCUUACGUCCGGUAGUUGGUGUGAGAUGACGAUCAGCCACACUGGAACUGAGACACGGUCCAGACUCAUACGGGAGGCAGCAGUGAGGAAUAUUGCGCAAUGCCCGAAAGGGUGACGCAGCGACGCCGCGUGAAGGAUGAAGGCCCUCUGGGUCGUAAACUUCUUUGGCAGGGGAAUAACAGAUCGCUAUAAGCGGUCGUGAAUGUACCCUGAGAACAAGCAUCGGCUAACUACGUGCCAGCAGCCGCGGUAAUACGUAGGAUGCGAGCGUUGUCCGGAUUCACUGGGUGUAAAGGGAGCGCAGGCGGAUUGAUAAGUCGGUUGUGAAAUGCUCAGGCUUAACCUGGGAACUGCAACCGAUACUGUUGAUCUUGAGUGUGGAAGAGGCUGAUAGAAUUCCUGGUGUAGCGGUGAAAUGCGUAGAUAUCAGGAAGAAUACCAAUGGCGAAGGCAGUCAGCUGGUCCAUUACUGACGCUCAUGCUCGAAAGCGUGGGGAUCAAACAGGAUUAGAUACCCCUGUAGUCC